AUUGAACGCUGGCGGCAUGCCUUACACAUGCAAGUCGAACGGUAACGGGCCUUCGGGUGCCGACGAGUGGCGAACGGGUGAGUAAUACAUCGGAACGUGCCCGAUCGUGGGGGAUAACGAGGCGAAAGCUUUGCUAAUACCGCAUACGAUCUACGGAUGAAAGCAGGGGACCGCAAGGCCUUGCGCGGACGGAGCGGCCGAUGGCAGAUUAGGUAGUUGGUGGGAUAAAAGCUUACCAAGCCGACGAUCUGUAGCUGGUCUGAGAGGAUGAUCAGCCACACUGGGACUGAGACACGGCCCAGACUCCUACGGGAGGCAGCAGUGGGGAAUUUUGGACAAUGGGCGCAAGCCUGAUCCAGCCAUGCCGCGUGCAGGAUGAAGGCCUUCGGGUUGUAAACUGCUUUUGUACGGAACGAAAAGCCUUCUUUUAAUACAGGAGGGUCAUGACGGUACCGUAAGAAUAAGCACCGACUAACUACGUG
rnacentral:rRNA from 1 species